ACGGAGAAGGCUAUGUUGGCCGGGCGACGGUUGUCCCGGUUUAAGCGUGUAGGUGUGUGUUCCAGGUAAAUCCGGUUCACUUUAACACUGAGGCGUGACGACGAGGCACUACGGUGCUGAAGCAACAAAUGCCCUGCUUCCAGGAAAAGCCUCUAAGCAUCAGGUAACAUCAAAUCGUACCCCAAACCGACACAGGUGGUCAGGUAGAGAAUACCAAGGCGCUUGAGAGAACUCGGGUGAAGGAACUAGGCAAAAUGGUGCCGUAACUUCGGGAGAAGGCACGCUGACACGUAGGUGAAGUGAUUUACUCAUGGAGCUGAAGUCAGUCGAAGAUACCAGCUGGCUGCAACUGUUUAUUAAAAACACAGCACUGUGCAAACACGAAAGUGGACGUAUACGGUGUGACGCCUGCCCGGUGCCGGAAGGUUAAUUGAUGGGGUCAGCGCAAGCGAAGCUCCUGAUCGAAGCCCCGGUAAACGGCGGCCGUAACUAUAACGGUCCUAAGGUAGCGAAAUUCCUUGUCGGGUAAGUUCCGACCUGCACGAAUGGCGUAAUGAUGGCCAGGCUGUCUCCACCCGAGACUCAGUGAAAUUGAACUCGCUGUGAAGAUGCAGUGUACCCGCGGCAAGACGGAAAGACCCCGUGAACCUUUACUAUAGCUUGACACUGAACAUUGAGCCUUGAUGUGUAGGAUAGGUGGGAGGCUUUGAAGUGUGGACGCCAGUCUGCAUGGAGCCGACCUUGAAAUACCACCCUUUAAUGUUUGAUGUUCUAACGUGGACCCGUUACCCGGGUUGCGGACAGUGUCUGGUGGGUAGUUUGACUGGGGCGGUCUCCUCCUAAAGAGUAACGGAGGAGCACGAAGGUUGGCUAAUCCUGGUCGGACAUCAGGAGGUUAGUGCAAUGGCAUAAGCCAGCUUGACUGCGAGCGUGACGGCGCGAGCAGGUGCGAAAGCAGGUCAUAGUGAUCCGGUGGUUCUGAAUGGAAGGGCCAUCGCUCAACGGAUAAAAGGUACUCCGGGGAUAACAGGCUGAUACCGCCCAAGAGUUCAUAUCGACGGCGGUGUUUGGCACCUCGAUGUCGGCUCAUCACAUCCUGGGGCUGAAGUAGGUCCCAAGGGUAUGGCUGUUCGCCAUUUAAAGUGGUACGCGAGCUGGGUUUAGAACGUCGUGAGACAGUUCGGUCCCUAUCUGCCGUGGGCGCUGGAGAACUGAGGGGGGCUGCUCCUAGUACGAGAGGACCGGAGUGGACGCAUCACUGGUGUUCGGGUUGUCAUGCCAAUGGCACUGCCCGGUAGCUAAAUGCGGAAGAGAUAAGUGCUGAAAGCAUCUAAGCACGAAACUUGCCCCGAGAUGAGUUCUCCCUGAGACUUUAGGUCUCCUGAAGGAACGUUGAAGACGACGACGUUGAUAGGCCGGGUGUGUAAGCGCAGCGAUGCGUUGAGCUAACCGGUACUAAUGAACCGUGAGGCUUAACCUUACAACGCCGAAGAUGUUUUGGCGGAUGAGAGACGAUUUUCAGCACUGAUUC
rnacentral:rRNA from 1 species